CUCUUCCCCUAAUUGGGGACUGUUAUGUAUUGUAGCAAGUACAAUUAUGUUUUAAUGAAUUGGAAUAGUGACAGUUGAAUAGCAGGAAAAAGAAAAAAAAAGAUAUUUUUCAAUAUGUUUGGUGAUUAUACUGUAUAUAAUUUGAAAAUUGCCAUUUUUGUCUCCUAUCUAAGCUACAAAACUUCUUGAAAAAAGAAUUAGUUGGCUUAUUUUCCCUCUUCACAUUUUC
rnacentral:lncRNA from 1 species